GUAUCAGGUAAGAUGACCUUUACCUGUUUCUCAAUUCAGAGGUCAGAUAGAACAUGAUUAUUGGAGUUCAAAUGAUUAGUGAUUAGUCUCUGCAUAAUUAGGCUCACAAAACCCUAAUCGCUCCUAUCUGAU
ensembl:snoRNA U8 U8 small nucleolar RNA